ensembl:lncRNA
CGCUUUCUCACCUUGUUUAUAUGUUAAAUCACACAACACGUCGCUUUCUCACCUUGUUUUUAUGUUAAAUCACACAACACGUCGCUUUCUCACCUUGUUUUUAUGUUAAAUCACACAACACGUCGCUUUCUCACCUUGUUUUUAUGUUAAAUCACACAACACAUCGCUUUCUCACCUUCUUUUUCUUCUUCUUCUUCUUAUUUUCCUCCUCACUAUCAGAAGAGGAUGAAGAGGAAGAGGAGGAUGAAGACGAGGAGGAGGAAGAUGAAGAACUGGAAUCCUCUUUCUUCUUCUUCUUCUUCUUCUUCUUCUUCUUCUUUUUGUCAUCCUCGCUGUCUGAAGAGGAAGAGCUUUCCGAGGAUGAAGAGGAUGAUGAACAGCCAGAGUCCUUCAAUAAAAAAAAACACUCAUUAGGGUAUUGUAGCUGUAUUACAUAAUUCAUUACAUGACACUUUUGGAGAGGAGCUCAAGUCCAAUGGCAGAAUAACACAGCUCAACUAAAUACUUGUGGGAAAGGUUGUCUGUACUGUACCACAGGGAGCCAAUGGGAACUGAGAUGAGUACCUUCUUCUUCUUCUUCUUCUUCAACUUCUUCUUCUUCUCUUUCUCCUUGCCUCCUUCUCUCUCGUCAUCACUCAGGUUUCCAGCUUCCAUUCCUUCAGGAAAAUCUCUGCCACCUUUCGUCGCGGGAAAGAAGACUAUCACCCUCAAGAUUUCCCCUUCAUAAUCUCCAUAUCUCUUCUAAGAUUUCCCCUUCAUAAUCUCCAUAUCUCUUCUGAGACAAUUCUUUUUUUUGAUUUACUUACAAAUCCCUUCUGCUGAUGCACCACCCUCCUUUGCUUUGUCUUUCUUGCACUGUGAUUGGGGAGAGGUUAUUACGACAGAGAAAGUCAUUCGGGGGAUACAGAGAGAGUUUCAAUUCAAAGUGAGGAGAGGAGUGUCCGUUUGUAGAUCUGUUUGCGUUUUACCUUGUCAUCGUCAUCACUCUCAGACGCAGAGCCCUGAGAAAAAGCGUGAGAGGUUGAAUUCCUUUGUAACUUUAACCCUUUUCAUCUCUGACGCCCUCUGCUGACACUUUCUAAGCGACACAUUUUCGACCUUACAAAACUGUAAGUCUAACAAACACACGCUUAAUACUGUUAGAAGGUAAUAACUGUGGGAUUCGGAUACACCAUGGGAUUCUAUACAUGGGAUUCUAUACGUUAUCAACGUGACUAUUGCAGAGCCAGAGAUACAGCAGGCAAGGAAAAGCUAAAUAAAUAUACACAGACUGUACGAAACAUUAGGAACACCGGCUCUUCCCGGAGUGGGUACCACUUAGGCUAAGCGGACUCGGUACGGCUUAAGUUUCAAGGUUAAAACUCUCGAAAGGCCUGUUGUUAUACGCCUCGAUGACCUCACCUUGUACGUUCUCUUGUCUUUCUUCUUCUUUUUGUCUUUCUUUUUUUCCCCUUUGCCCAAUUUCUGUCCCAGGGUACCCUCCAGUCCAGCACCCUCCUCACCU